rnacentral:rRNA from 1 species
UAGGGAAUAUUGGUAAUGGGCGAAAGCCCGAACCAGCAACGCCGCGUGCGCGAUGAAGGCCUUCGGGUUGUAAAGCGCUUUUUAAGGGGAUGAGGAAGGACAGUACUCUUAGAAUAAGCCUCGGCUAACUACGUGCCAGCAGCCGCGGUAAAACGUAGGAGGCGAGCGUUAUCCGGAUUUACUGGGCGUAAAGCGUGUGUAGGCGGUUUGAUAAGUUGGAUGUGAAAGCUCCCGGCUCAACUGGGAGAGGUCGUUCAAAACUAUCAGACUUGAGAGUGGUAGAGGGAGGUGGAAUUCCGCGUGUAGUGGUGAAAUGCGUAGAUAUGCGGAGGAACACCAGUGGCGAAAGCGGCCUCCUGGCCCAUUUCUGACGCUCAGACACGAAAGCUAAGGUAGCAAACGG